rnacentral:rRNA from 1 species
AGAGCUCAAAUUUGAAAGCUGGCCCCUCCGGGGUCCGCGUUGUAAUUUGCAGAGGAUGCUUUGGGUGCGGCCCCCGUCUAAGUGCCCUGGAACGGGCCGUCAGAGAGGGUGAGAAUCCCGUCUUGGGCGGGGUGUCCGUGCCCGUGUAAAGCUCCUUCGACGAGUCGAGUUGUUUGGGAAUGCAGCUCUAAAUGGGUGGUAAAUUUCAUCUAAAGCUAAAUACUGGCCGGAGACCGAUAGCGCACAAGUAGAGUGAUCGAAAGAUGAAAAGCACUUUGAAAAGAGAGUUAAACAGCACGUGAAAUUGUUGAAAGGGAAGCGCUUGCGACCAGACUCGCCCUCGGGGUUCAGCCGGCACUCGUGCCGGUGUACUUCCCCGGGGGCGGGCCAGCGUCAGCUUGGGCGGCCGGUCAAAGGCCUCCGGAAUGUAGUGCCCCCCGGGGCACCUUAUAGCCGGAGGUGCAAUGCGGCCAGCCUGGGCUGAGGAACGCGCUUCGGCACGGACGCUGGCAUAAUGGUCGCAAACGACCCGUCUUGAAACACG